UUUUUUUAGUCGACAAUUAUGGCCACUGCAGAAGGGACCAGAGCAGACUUCUCUCCUUUACCUGAACUCUAUAAGGAAGGUACCCCCCAGCAGAGGUCCCCUGUGCCCGUCCGUCUCCUCAGGGAGUCCAGAAGAAUUUGGAAUUCGUGACCCUGGUGGGAUUUCCCUUUGCCCUGACUAACAUCUUCAUCACUUGGGGUAUUUGAGGACCAGCUUGCCUGCUGAUGGACCAGACCCAGUGGCCACAACCAGGACCCUUUGGUCCCUGGACUCCUCUUCAUGUGGACAACUGGCCAGAGUGCCCUGACUGGAGUAUUGGUGAAGAUUAAUGCAAUUUGAAGAACUUCGAAAAGAAGAAGCAAGCUGUUCGUGUACAGGACGACUCAACCAGGAAAGUUCAGUGUAUACAACUGGUCACUUAAAGAUUUGUCUUCAAGAAGCAAAAGCAGGCCUGCAAAGUAUCUGA
rnacentral:lncRNA from 1 species